AGAUUGGACGCUAGCGGCAUGCCUAACACAUGCAAGUCGAACGGUAACAGGCCCUUCGGGGUGCUGACGAGUGGCGGACGGGUGAGUAAUGCGUAGGAAUCUACCCACGAGUGGGGGAUAGCCCGGAGAAAUCCGGAUUAAUACCGCAUAUGCCCUACGGGGUAAAGCGGGGGAUCGUAAGACCUCGCGCUGGUGGAUGAGCCUACGUCCGAUUAGUUAGUUGGUGGGUAAAGGCCUACCAAGGCUAUGACGGAUAGUUGGUCUGAGAGGAUGAUCAGCCACAUUGGGACUGCGACACGGCCCAAACUCCUACGGGAGGCAGC
rnacentral:rRNA from 1 species